rnacentral:rRNA from 1 species
GAGUGAACGCUGGCGGUAGGCCUAACACAUGCAAGUCGAACGGCAGCACAGUAAGAGCUUGCUCUUACGGGUGGCGAGUGGCGGACGGGUGAGGAAUACAUCGGAAUCUACUUUUUCGUGGGGUAUAACGUAGGGAAACUUACGCUAAUACCGCAUACGACCUACGGGUGAAAGCAGGGGAUCUUCGGACCUUGCGCGAUUGAAUGAGCCGAUGUCGGAUUAGCUAGUUGGCGGGGUAAAGGCCCACCAAGGCGACGAUCCGUAGCUGGUCUGAGAGGAUGAUCAGCCACACUGGAACUGAGACACGGUCCAGACUCCUACGGGAGGCAGCAGUGGGGAAUAUUGGACAAUGGGCGCAAGCCUGAUCCAGCCAUACCGCGUGGGUGAAGAAGGCCUUCGGGUUGUAAAGCCCUUUUGUUGGGAAAGAAAAGCAGCAGGUUAAUACCCCGCUGUUCUGACGGUACCCAAAGAAUAAGCACCGGCUAACUUCGUG